GUGUGUGUGUGUGUGUGUGUGUGUGUGUGUGUGUGUGUGCACGUGCAUGCGUGUGCGUGUGUGUAUAGGUCUGGAUGAUGACGAUGAUGAUGAUGAUGACUCUGAUGACAAGGCAGAAAAAAUCAAGAAUCCGAAUUCUCUGCAGAGUGGAAAGUGGCAGAUGGGUCACCAAGGUCAGAAAAGGCCAACUGGAACAUGGAACUUAAAAAGGACUUUUCCCUCUUUUCUCUGUCUUUUAAUUUCACAGUCAUUCAUACAUUCAUUCAUUCAUUGAUCCAUUCAUCCAUCCAUUCAUUCAUUUAUUCAUCUAUUUAUUCAUCUAUUCAUUAAUUCAUUCAUUCAUUCAUUCAUUCAUCUAUUCAUUCAUUCUUUUUUCUACUUUCCCUUUUUUUAUGUAUUUUUUCUUGUAUUUGUUCUCUUUUUUAUUCUUUUCUUUCCCUUUUCUUCCCCUUAUUCUUGUUAUUUCCCCCAUUCUUUCUCACCCUUGUUUCGCUCAAGCUCAAUUCUCCUUCACCUUGUCUCCGCAGCGAUGUCCUUUGACCUGUACGCUAAGUAUGGCAACAACCGCACCCUGAGUCUGGUGAGCCCCAAGAAGCCGUACUACCAGUGGAGGCUGCGGGUCCCCUCAGGUCACGUGGUGCGACUGGUGGUCCUGACCCUGCAGGGGGCCACCCCCGGCAGCUGCUCCGCACACAAGCUCUCCGCCUUCGACUUCCUGCUCCCGCUACAGAACAAAAUGAUCGCCAGGUGGUGUGGUCUGCCAGUGUCCAGUUCCUCCCCGGUGAUGAAGCUGACCUCGUCUGGAAAUGUCAUGCUGGUCACUUUCUCUUUCAGUCGACAACGACAUGGAGCCAUCUUCAAAGCCUAUUUCCAGGCCAUACCUAAAGAAGGUGUGUGUGUGUAUGUGUGUAUGUGUCCAUGAUGGAGAUAAUUACCAAACUGUUAAUUACUUCAGAAUAUAUGAAUCAAGUGCUUGUAUUAAUAAUUACCUUUUAUGCUUUUCAUAUCAGUGACAUGGCUUUUCUGUGUUUCUGUGUAUAUGUGUAACUUUGAUUAACUGGCGCCACUUAUUGUUUUCUCGACCCUGAGAAGAUACUAGAAGCUCAGUCGAGAACUAGAUGAUUAAACAUUUAUGGCGUCAGCAUUAGAUAAA
ensembl:lncRNA